CCAAUCACCUCACACGUACAAAAUUACAAAUCCACCUCAUCAAUCUUUCCCAUGGAUUGCUACAUGCCCGCCUCGAUCAAUUCGGGUUCUUCUCUGCCGAAACUCGGGGUCUCCGCCCCGUCAAUUGAGGUUUAUAUCGCCGGGUGUUGCUCCGGUGUGCCUAUGAUAUUGACAAAAAACAUACGGCUUAGUCCGAGGCGGAAGGCCCCCCAGGCACUGCUGCGCUCGAUGCCAUUCCAGAGGAUGAGGAGGUUGGGAAGGAGCACAGCAAGGGCUGUAAUGGGAUGAUUCACCAUCGGAAACUUCAGAUUACAGACUCUGAAAUUGAAGAGCAUGAGUUCUACUCCGAUGAAAUGUACACUGGUGAGGACAGCCAACUCACAUGGUUGCAUGCUGGUGUUAGAGUUGGUGUUGGAAUUGGCCUUGGGAUAGGGAUUGGUGUUGGAUUGCUCAUGCGUUCCUAUCAAGCGACUACCAGUAAUUUCCGAAGGAGGUUUCUCUGAAGUGGAUAAUCAGAAAUGCUUUUGGGAAAGUCAAGGGAAUACAAUAAUGAAAUAUUGAAGAUUGUGAGGAAGAGAGAACGGCACGAACACAAAUCUGUUGAGCAUGAGUUUUUGCAGUCGGGUUGGAAGUUUACUUCACUCCAAAGGCCGGUUACUGGACCAUUGAAAUGUUGUUUCAAUGAAACAUCAUCACGGUGACAAUGUGGAGAACCAGCUUAGCCUUCCGAGGCAGGAAAAUAAGCUUUGAAGAUCUGAGGGAGCUGUAGGUAAUAGCGAAGACUGUUUAGCAGCCGGCACAAGCUUGUACAAGGUUUGACUUUGCUUUCUUGAAGAUGCAUGUAUUUGUCUAUUUUUUUCAUGUCCUGUAGAAAAUUUUGCGGUCCUUGGAGUUGGUUGGGAAACUUCAUAUCAUGGAUGUUUUUGUAGAUAAAUGUAGCGUUGCUUCACUUGGACUGACGUGUUUUUAUUUUCUCGCUCAUUCCUCCAUUUAAUAAAAUUCGAUGUGGGCAAGCAGUGCGCAAGCUGUUGAUGAAUAA